GACGAACGCUGGCGGCGUGUCUAAUACAUGCAAGUCGAACGCAGUGGGGACGGGUGAGUAACACGUGGGUAACCUCCCAUCAGAGGGGAUAACACUUGGAAACAGGUGCUAAACCGAUACUGAUGGAUGGACCCGCGGUGCAUUAGCUAGUUGGGGAGGUAACGGCUCACCAAGGCCACGAUGCAUAGCCGGGCUGGGGUGUUGAUCGGCCAAACUGGGAAUGGGGAACGGCCCAGGCUCCUACGGGAGGGAGCAGUAGGGAAUCCUCGGCAAUGGACGAAAGUCUGACCGAGCAACGCCGCGGGAGUGAAGAAGGUUUUCGGAUCGUAAAACUCUGUUGUUAGAGAAGCGGUAACUAACCAGAAAGGGACGGCUAACUACGUGCCAGCAGCCGCGGUAAUAC
rnacentral:rRNA from 1 species